CUUCUCUGGAUGAGUUGCGAACGGGUGAGUAACGCGUAGGUAACCUGCCUGGUAGCGGGGGAUAACUAUUGGAAACGAUAGCUAAUACCGCAUAAUAGUAGAUGUUGCAUGACAUUUGCUUAAAAGGUGCAAUUGCAUCACUACCAGAUGGACCUGCGUUGUAUUAGCUAGUUGGUGGGGUAACGGCUCACCAAGGCGACGAUACAUAGCCGACCUGAGAGGGUGAUCGGCCACACUGGGACUGAGACACGGCCCAGACUCC
rnacentral:rRNA from 1 species